CAUCGCCAUUCCUCCAGCAGCGCUGCUGCUCUUCUUGCUCUUUCUGUUUAUCCAUCCACAUCCAGUGCGCCGACAAGCCCACCCAUCAGCGGUGCUCUCCUUCCUCUCAUCUCUAUCCGUGCUCUAGCCACACACCACCCACGCGCCCUUCUUGCUUCAGUCGACGGCUCCUCGUUCCCCUCCCCUUCCCUCCUCCACAACUAACCAAGCACCGCCCUCUCACGGUUCACGUUCGUCGGGCGGUUGCAGCGCGGCUCCUGUUGGCCGAGCCUGCGCGCGGGGGCUGGCUGGGCCGAUGGCUGAGGCGCGGCAGUGGUGGCCUGCUCACGGUCGAGCUCGGCGGCUACUUGACGGGGCCGCGUGGAUCUGCCCCGGGGCUCCGGGCUCCGGAUCUGCGUGGUCAUGUCCACCUCACCCUCCGACGGCGCCUUAUUGCGGCGCUUCGGGCCCAGAUCUCGCCGGUUGGUGCGUAGAUGUGCGUGCGCUCGGCUUAAGGUAGCGCAAGGAUGAUGGGGUAGCUUGGAUGGUGGCCCGUGCAGUGUGCGGCUGCCCUCAGAAUGCAGGCGUCCCACGAUGACGAUGCAGGGGGGUGCAGCAUCUGGUCCAGCAUGGCGCGGAGGCCGGCGGCGACGACCUCGUGGCUCUCUCAGCAGAACUCGGGCUGCGCCGCGACGCCAAGCCACGCCUGCACUCUGCCGUCAUUUGGACGCAUGCCAUGAUGGUCACGCCCUCAAGCUCCAGCACGAGCCCCGCCUUCCCGCGCCGCGCUGCAGCCCGCGUUCCUCUCCUCUGACCGCACACAUCGCGCCGCUGCCCGAGUUACUCUGCUCUGACCGCACCCGACGCCCGCGCCGUCGACCCCUUCGGCCCUCGCCACGCCGGCGACCACCAAGAACCCCACCACCUCCUCGCCUCCGUUUGCUGCACGUCGCCAGGAGCGCCGCCACCCUCCUAGGAGCCCCGUCGCCGUUCCCCUAUGACCCUCGCUCGAUUACUUGGCUUCUGCGGCGUGGACUCCGGCGCCAAGCGGCGGUGAGUGGCCGGCGGUGGAGUCUGAGAAUGGAUAAGAGGCAGUACUGCGGGCUGAAUUCCAACCACUGCAGGGGCUAUUUUGCAAAAAUGAAACAUACUCUCAGGAACACACUUUAUAUAGGACUGCGGGUUGAAUUCGAAUAAAUACAGGGGCUUUUUUGUAAGAACGACGGACGACGGACGAGGGUCGGACGAAAGAACGACGUAAUAGGGGAAACGAAACCUUACGUUUCUUUUAGAUAAGUAGAGAUGUACUAAGUUUUCGGUUAAUACAAUUCUAGCAUGAAUAAUAAACAUUUAUCAUGACUUAAGAAAA